rfam:Ovis aries breed Texel unplaced genomic scaffold TnplacedScaffold_004082847.1, whole genome shotgun sequence.
UGGUUCAGUGAGUAGGACUCUGCACUCACAUUGCAGGAGGCCCAGGUUCGAUCCCUGG